rnacentral:rRNA from 1 species
CUUUUCUUGUUAGUUUUUGAAGUAUGGCCUGCCCACUGAUUUAUUGAAGGGCCGCGGUAUUUUGACCGUGCAAAGGUAGCAUAAUCAUUAGUUCUUUAAUUGUGAUCUGGAAUGAAUGGCUUGACGAGAUGCUAGCUGUCUUAGAUUUUGAUGAAAGUUUUAUUUAAUUUGGUCUCUGAGUUAAAAUUCUCAGAUGUUUUUAUGGGACGAGAAGACCCUAUAGAGUUUAGACAUAUUAUCUUUUAUUCGUUAUGUUAGUUUGUCUUUUUAAAGGUUUAUUUGUUUUGUUGGGGUGAUGGGAAGAAUUUAUUAAACUCUUCUUUUCUUUAUUACAUUUAUUUAUGUUAUUGUGAUCCAUUUAUUUUGAUUAUAAGAUUAAAUUACC